AUUUACACAUUGUUAUAUUUUGGAAACUCAUUAUUAUUCUAUAGGGAUCGAAAUUUCGUUAUCAUAAUGAAAGUUUCCUUAAUUUCCUAUGUAACUUUUCCGAAAUGUUUGUAACUUUCCGGAACUAGCACAUCUUUAUUUACUAACACUCACUAGUAGAACAUUUUUUUGCGUAGCGUACUUAUGAUUAUGUAAAUUGUGUCUUAUGAAAAUUGUAUUAUUUUGAGAUUUAGCUUUUACUAAAUUGCCUAUACUCUCGGAGACUAAAUGAUCUCUAUAUGAUAUUUAGAGCUAAUGUUUGUUGCACUGAAUAAAUGGUAUUGAUUAAUGAAUCAUAUUCUUUUGCUUUUUGUGUUGUAUUUAUUUACGUGGUAGAAACUGGCCGGAACUGGUAACAACUUUACAAAGAAUUACAUUACGAAAGCGUUUAAAAAUAACUUAAAUUUGAUCAUAUUCUGAUUAAAAUCGAAUCUGUGACAAGAACUUAUUGAGCGCGUCUGUAAGGGUGAUAUUCCACCUGUCCAAUUUCUUUGUCUAAUGUCAGUCCGUCUCACUCUCCCAUUAAAGCAAAUUGUGAGAUGCAAUACACAUUGGACAAAAAAUGUAGUGCAUAAUUAUUUUCCAUCGUUUUUUCACGGUAACGUACGAACGCGUCUUGUUAUUUCAGUUAGUCUCGGUACAAAAAAUACUGAGGUUGAUGUAGCAUGACAAAUACGAACGUAUUCGAGAAAAUACGAUGGAAAACAAUUAUGCACUACAUCUGUAAUAGAGUAUGUAUAUUUAAAAAGGCGAAUGUGCUCCACUUAAAGUCCCUUUUUAUAAUUCGCAUACGACCUUUUUGAUAUACUCUGAUAAUUCAUUUUGUAACCCUCUACACAAAAUCUAACUGUGUCCAAAAUUUCGGCUAAGUUUAAUACCUACCCUAUUUAUGAUUUGUGUUUUACUUUAAUAAACUCUAACUGUUCCCUAGAAUAAGUCACGUGAAUCGGUUAUUUUUGAAUAUUCCAGUAAUAAGUUAUUAAAUGUCAAACAAACAUUGAAAUCAAAAUAUACUCAAAGUCAAAAUAUUACAUUCAUUUCAAAAUGUAACCGUGAACUUGAGCGGUAUUUGACCUUUAAAAAUAUUAUCAUUAUUCGAAAUUACUGACAGUGAAUUUCACUAUCAAACCAAGAUAAUAUUUUUAGGGUUAGAAAGCUCCUAGCAUCUAGGGAUCGCUUGAUACGUUGUAGUAGUAAGCUAUAUAAAUCUACGUAUAGCUUUAUAAGUAUGCAAAAGCAUUAGACUAUGACGUUAGAGUGAGCUGUAUUCACUGACAAGUGUUGUUUUAGUGUCUUUAUGGAAAUAAACAUUUUACAAAUA